rnacentral:rRNA from 1 species
AUUGAACGCUGGCGGCAGGCCUAACACAUGCAAGUCGAACGAGUGGCGGACGGGUGAGUAAUGUCUGGGAAACUGCCUGAUGGAGGGGGAUAACUACUGGAACCGGUAGCUAAUACCGCAUACCAUCGGAUGUGCCCAGAUGGGAUUAGCUAGUAGGUGGGGUAAAGGCUCACCAAGGCGACGAUCCCUAGCUGGUCUGAGAGGAUGACCAGCCAAACGGGAACUGAGAACCGGUCCAGACUCCUACGGGAGGCAGCAGUGGGGAAUAUUGGACAAUGGGCGCAAGCCGGAUGCAGCAAUGCCGCGUGUAUGAAGAAGGUCUUCGGGUUGUAAAGUACUUUCAGCGGGGAGGCGUUACCCGCAGAAGAAGCACCGGCUAACUCCGUGCCAGCAGCCGCGGUAAUUC